UUAAAGAAAUCAUCGUCAAGUCGGAGGAAGAGAUGGAUGAUCAUCGCAGACUGCUGGAUUUCUCCCGGAGGCCCCAGAUAAUCUUACACCGAAUAGGUUUCAUAAAGACCAUGUGAGGAAGAAGUGGGGAAUGUCUUUAAGGAGAGACGGAUUCACUGCACUGAUGAAUCUCAGCUGCUGAAUCUCUCUUAAGCUCCUCCUCGGCUG